CGAACGGGUGAGUAACGCGUGAGGAACCUGCCUCAAAGAGGGGGACAACAGUUGGAAACGACUGCUAAUACCGCAUAAGCCCACAGCUCGGCAUCGAGCAGAGGGAAAAGGAGCAAUCCGCUUUGAGAUGGCCUCGCGUCCGAUUAGCUAGUUGGUGAGGUAAUGGCCCACCAAGGCGACGAUCGGUAGCCGGACUGAGAGGUUGAACGGCCACAUUGGGACUGAGACACGGCCCAGACUCCUACGGGAGGCAGCAUG
rnacentral:rRNA from 1 species